GUUUUAAUAGUUUUAAAAAAAACAUUGGUCUUGUAAACCAAAAUUAAGAACCUUCUUUUAAAACU
rnacentral:tRNA from 1 species